rnacentral:rRNA from 1 species
ACGAGAAACGGUCUAGCUUGCUAGAUGCAGUCUAAGUGGCGCACGGGUGAGUAAUGUAUAGGUAAUGUGCCUUUUAGUGGGGGAUAACAGUUGGAAACGACUGCUAAUACCCUAUAUUCCUUAUUAACAAAAGUGUGUAAGGGAAAGAUUUAUUGCUAAAAGAUCGGCCUAUAUUGUAUCAGCUUGUUGGUGAGGUAAUGGCUCACCAAGGCAAUGACGCAUAACUGGUUUGAGAGGAUGAUCAGUCACACUGGAACUGAGACACGGUCCAGACUCCUACGGGAGGCAGCAGUGGGGAAUAUUGCACAAUGGACGGAAGUCUGAUGCAGCAACGCCGCGUGGAGGAUGACGCAUUUCGGUGUGUAAACUCCUUUUAUAUAAGAAGAUAAUGACGGUAUUAUAUGAAUAAGCACCGGCUAACUCCGUGCCAGCAGCCGCGGUAAUACGGGGGGUGCAAGCGUUACUCGGAAUCACUGGGCGUAAAGAGCGUGUAGGCGGAUUGGUAAGUUGGAUGUGAAAGCCUAUGGCUCAACCAUAGAAUUGCUUCCAAAACUGCUAGUCUAGAGUGUGGGAGAGGUAGAUGGAAUUUCUGGUGUAGGGGUAAAAUCCGUAGAGAUCAGAAGGAAUACCGAUUGCGAAGGCGAUCUACUGGAACAUAACUGACGCUGAGACGCGAAAGCGUGGGGAGCAAACAGGAUUAGAUACCCUGGUAGUCCACGCCCUAAACGAUGUACACUAGUUGUUGUGAGGCUUGACCUUGCAGUAAUGCAGUUAACACAUUAAGUGUACCGCCUGGGGAG